GUAGCACUUCCUGUCAGAGUUUAGCCGACGUGUGCAUCUCACUACAAAAGAACCAUCACAAUGAGGACCACAUCGCUUUUAUUCUUCUAUCUCCUGGUGUGCUGUCAAACUACCGAGAGUUUAACUCUUAAUCCGGUGAUUUUAGGGACCAGUGUGACUUUAGAUUGUGAGCUUGAUGUAAAAGAGAUUUUUUGGCUUUUCUUGAAACCAGCAGAAUCUCUAGUGGUGAUAUAUCGUACUUACAGUGCAAAAUCUACAAUGUGUCUUUUUCAUGAUGAAAGACUCCAAAACAGAUAUUCGUCACGAACGGAGAGUCGAUUAUUUAUUCGAAUUAUUACAAAAGAGGAAUUGGGAAUAUAUUAUUGUGCAAAAGUAAACACAUCUCUGCAGCUGAGCAAUGGCACCAAACUUUACACUGAAACGAACCGUCAGAAUGAUCAACCACAACAUCAGACUGCGGCGAUCACAUCCAUCUCAAUAAUUGCUUCGUUUCUUAUAACAAUAGUAAUUGUGUUAGGUCUGUUAACUCUGAAAUGUGAGAAACCCAGGAAAAGUCGACAACAGAAUGUCAAAGUGAAGCAGUUUGAUGACCUGAACACAGAAGAGUUUACUGAAGUGGAGUUCCGUCCGUGUGAAUAACAUUCAGUGAGACCGACGGCACUUUUCCCUCAAAACCAACGUCAAAAUGAAAACAUACAGAACACAAACUUAAGAAGAUGACCGCUCAUAUCUGUCCAUCUGUAUAGUCUGACAGUAAAAUAUUUACUACUCUUAAUAUAAAUGUUUUGGCUAACACUUUACGUUAAAGUACCCUUUAUGAAGCAUUUAUAAAUGUGUUCAUUAAUGAUUAAUAAGUAAUUUACAAAUGCAUUAUAAAGCAGUUAUAACGGCAUGAAUAAAAAGGGGGAUUCUAAUGAAAUACAUGCCAAAUAGUGAGCAGGUAUAAGAAAAACAACAUAACACCCUACAGUGUCCAGUCUGACAGCCUAUAUUGCAAACAACAUCAAGAUAAUAAUGAAUCCGCUUUCGAGUCGAAUAAAUAAUAAAUGAACACCUUUAUUAAGCAUUUAUAACAUGUGAGUUAAAAUGGCUGAGGUAUUUCUUUAGAAUCCCUCUUUUAAUUCAUGCAGUUAUAACUGCGUCAUAAUGCAUUUGUAAAGGACUUAUGUGUCAUUAACAAACACAUUUAUAAAUGCUUUAUAAAGGGUACCUUAAUGUAAAGUGUUACCAUGUUUUGAUAUAAUGUUUUUCAACAAUUUUAAUAAAAAAUGUGAAAGUGUUUUAUCUGUAGACUCAACUUUAUCCAAAUGAUCUUUUGAUGAUGGUUCUGAAACAUCUUUGGACAUUCCUGGAUUCCUAUUUAACGUCAUGUAAAACCAAAGCAUGUAUGGCCUGUAAACUUUUAUUUUGUAAUUGAGAUGUCAUUUGUUCUUUGUUUUCUUUUCUGUUUGUGUUUUCAGUUCUGAUUGGUUUAAGUCACAUUUGUUGUCUCUCUGUUGUUUUAACUGUAACGGUUCAUUUAACACGUCGUCUGGUCAGGCUGCAUUUAAUUUAACUUAUAACAGGUGACUUCCUGUUUUAUUUCUUCUUUGUCUCUGUGGUAGCACUUCCUGACAUAGUUUAGCCAACUUAUGCAUCUCACUGCACAGAAUGAGGACCACGCCGCUUUUAUUCUUCUGUAAGUUAAUAUUAAUGUUAGUUCUUGCAGAAGUUGGAUAGUUGAUGAGGUUUAAAGUUGUCUAUCAGAAAUGAUGUUUGUGUUGUUCUCCUUAUACAGAUCUCCUGCUGUGUUGUCAAACUACAGAGAGUUUAACUCUUAAACGGGUGAUUUUAGGUGGAAAUGUGACUUUGGACUGUGAGCUUGAUAACAAAGAGAUUUAUUGGGUUUUCAUGACACCGCCAGAAUCUCUAGUGGUGAUAUUACGUACUUUUACAGCAGACUCUAUAAAACCUGCAUUUUAUGAUCAGAGACUCAAAAGCAAAUAUUCAUCAAAAACUUUAAGUCGUUUAUUUAUUAGUUGUAUAACAAAAGAUGAAUUAGGAAUAUAUUAUUGUGAAAAAGUAGACACAACAGGUCUACAACUCAGCAAUGGAACUAAACUUUAUACCACUGGUAAGUGUUUCUGAAAUGUGAAAUAUAGUAAAAGCUAUUAAUUAUUUUAAGAUAUCAUAUGUCCUACAUAUACACUUUUUAUAAAGAACUUAUUAAACAUUUUUGGUAAAUCGUUGGAUUUUUGUGCAGAAACUAUCCAUCAGAACGUGACAGAGGAGAAUGAUCAACCCCAACACAUGCAGCACAACACAACCACAACACAUUCGGCUCUGACGCUUACAUCCAUCUCACUGAACGUCCUGCUGUUUAUUACAAUAAUAGGUUUGUCUAGAAAAAGUGGAAAACCAUAUCAGAAUGUCAAAGAAAAGCAGUUUGAUGACCUGAAUACAGAAGAGUUCACUGAAGUGGAGUUCUGUCAGUAUGAAUAGCAUUCAUCGAGACCGACGGCGCUUUUAUCUCACAAGCCAAUAACAAAAUGAAGAAAACAAACUUAGGAAGACAAAAGAUGACAUACGGAAACCUACAGAACCAAUAAAAACAUUUACACUCUUAAUCAAAAUGUUUAUAUAUGUUUUUCAACAACUUUAAUAAAAAC